rnacentral:misc_RNA from 1 species
GUAGGUGAACCUGCGGAAGGAUCAUUAUAGAAUUAUAAGCGAGGGUUGUCGCUGGCCUUUCGGGGCAUGUGCACGCCCGAGCUCUUAAAUCCACAACACACCUGUGAACCCACCGUAGGCCUUCGGGCUUAUGCAUUUAUACUCUGUAUGUGUCAUAGAAUGUCACGCUGCAUUAAAAACGCAAUUAAAUACAACUUUCAACAACGGAUCUCUUGGCUCUG